rnacentral:rRNA from 1 species
GCGUGAGUGAUGAAGGCCUUCGGGUUGUAAAGCUCUUUUAGUCGUGACGAUGAUGACGGUAGCGACAGAAAAAGCCCCGGCUAAAUUCGUGCCAGCAGCCGCGGUAAUACGAAUGGGGCAAGCGUUGUUCGGAAUCACUGGGCUUAAAGCGUACGCAGGCGGCCAUGCAAGUCAGAAGUGAAAUCCCUGGGCUUAACCCAGGAAUUGCUUUUGAAACUGCACGGCUAGAAUCCGGGAGAGGUUGGCGGAAUUCCGAGUGUAGCAGUGAAAUGCGC